rnacentral:tRNA from 1 species
GGUGAGGUGCCCGAGUGGCCAAAGGGAGCAGACUGUAAAUCUGCCGGCGCAAGUCUUCGAAGGUUCGAAUCCUUCCCUCACCA